rnacentral:rRNA from 1 species
ACACGGGGGGAGCAAACGUUGUUCGGAUUCAUUGGGCGUAAAGAGCUCGUAGGCGGCUUCGUAAGUCAGAGGUGAAAGACCACGGCUCAACCGUGGAACCGCCUUUGAAACCACGAAGCUUGAGGCCCGGAGAGGAAAGCGGAAUUCCUGGAGUAGCGGUGAAAUGCGUAGAUAUCAGGAGGAACACCAGUGGCGAAGGCGGCUUUCUGGACGGGUACUGACGCUGAGGAGCGAAAGCUAGGGGAGCAAACAGGAUUAGAAACCCCAGUAGUCC